rnacentral:rRNA from 1 species
GUUAGGAAUAUUGGACAAUGGGCGCAAGCCUGAUCCAGCCAUGCCGCGUGUGUGAAGAAGGUCUUCGGAUUGUAAAGCACUUUAAGUUGGGAGGAAGGGUAGUAACCUAAUACGUUGCUACUUUGACGUUACCGACAGAAUAAGCACCGGCUAACUUCGUGCCAGCAGCCGCGGUAAUACGAAGGGUGCAAGCGUUAAUCGGAAUUACUGGGCGUAAAGCGCGCGUAGGUGGUUCAGUAAGUUGGAGGUGAAAUCCCCGGGCUCAACCUGGGAACUGCCUCCAAAACUGCAUGACUAGAGUACGGUAGAGGGUAGUGGAAUUUCCUGUGUAGCGGUGAAAUGCGUAGAUAUAGGAAGGAACACCAGUGGCGAAGGCGACCACCUGGACUGAUACUGACACUGAGGUGCGAAAGCGUGGGGAGCAAACAGGAUUAGAAACCCCAGUAGUCC